UACCUUUCCAUGUUCCAAAGGGGCCAUAGAUGUUGUGGAAACGCCCAAUGCGGCACUCGAUGCCAAAGUCCUUUGUGUAGUGCUUGCAGAGCUCCUCGGUUGCAAGCUUCUCCAAGCCAUAGGCAUCUUGAGGCUGCAAGAUGAACACACCUCAGCAGGCCAGGCAUCAGAUUCCUUCAAGCUCACAUUUGUUUCAAGCUGCUUGAAUUCAGGGUAAAUGCAUGCACUCGAGGCAUAGAAGAACCUGCAAGUCCCAAAAGAUACAAAAUAUUAGUCAAUGAGUUGAAGAAAUUAUCAUGUAAAGUUCAGACAUAGUACUUGAAAGUAGGACAGGUGCUUUAUAAACAGAAAACAGAAAUAGUUCUAAUAUCACCAAAGUGCCAUGUUUCAUUUCCUUUUUAGUUUGGUCAAUGUCAGUAUCAACUUGACUACAUGCAGAUCUGAACUGGAUACUAAUGGAAAAUUCACUGGCUGAAACAGUACCCAGAGCUUCCAAGACUAAAAUGUAAAGAAAUGCUGUUUAUAUGUAGUAGCCAGGCAAAUUCGAAUU